UGUUCCGUAGUGUAGCGGUUAUGACAUUUGCUUUACACGUGAAAGGUCUCCGGUUCGAUCCCGGACGGUACCA